rnacentral:rRNA from 1 species
AUUGAACGCUGGCGGCAUGCCUUACACAUGCAAGUCGAACGGUAACAGGUCUUCGGAUGCUGACGAGUGGCGAACGGGUGAGUAAUACAUCGGAACGUGCCUAGUAGUGGGGGAUAACUACUCGCAAGAGUGGCUAAUACCGAAUGAGAUCUACGGAUGAAAGCAGGGGAUCGAAAGAUCUUGUGCUACUAGAGCGGCCGAUGGCAGAUUAGGUAGUUGGUGGGAUAAAAGCUUACCAAGCCGACGAUCGGUAGCUGGUCUGAGAGGACGAUCAGCCACACUGGGACUGAGACACGGCCCAGACUCCUACGGGAGGCAGCAGUGGGGAAUUUUGGACAAUGGGCGCAAGCCUGAUCCAGCAAUGCCGCGUGAAGGAUGAAGGCCUUCGGGUUGUAAACUUCUUUUAUAGGGGAAGCCUGUACGCUAUGCGUAUGGGGACGGUACCCUAAGAAUAAGGACCUGCUAACUACGUGCCAGCCGCCGCAGUAA